rnacentral:lncRNA from 1 species
UCAGCGAUUUUAUGUAUAAAGCUAGCGGUAGAACAAAUUGAACAUGGCUGUCAUGAAAUAGUAAUGAUGAAUAUAAGUUUGAGAUCGUUUAUUAGGAAACUUUGGUAAAAAUGUUUGCAAAGUUAUUUUUUUAUAUUAUUUCAAGGUCCGUCGGGCAUGUCGUGCGUAGCUAGUAACAAAGUAGAAAGUCCGACUGCAAAAGUGGAAGGUCACAGACCUUGGACCACCGCUAAUUUAAAACCCUGCGUCCAAAUUGAAAAGAUACGAAAAUUUCGUCUUCUUUUAAAUUCAAAAUUGCCGCCAACAGUUGAACUUAUAUACGUAGUUGACUACGUAUUGUCGACAAACAAUAUUCCUACGACUUUUGCAAUUUGGGAAAUCUUAACUACUUGUCUUUAGAGAUUUUCGGCGAUUAGAUAUUUCAUACAUUUGUUCUUUGAC